rfam:Ornithorhynchus anatinus Cont201.53, whole genome shotgun sequence.
GAUCAGUGAUGAAAAAUAGCCAAAUCUGAGCAUCAGAGGCCAUCUGGUCUACAUGGUGCAUGAUCACUAUAGUUCUGGGA